UCCCCCGUCGUCUAGUGGCAGGACGGCUCACUUUGGAUGAGUUCACCGAGGUUCGAAUCCUCGCGGGGGAG
rnacentral:tRNA from 1 species